rnacentral:rRNA from 1 species
CAGCGCCGCGGGAAUACGUAGGUGGCAAGCGUUGUCCGGAUUUAUUGGGCGUAAAGGGCUCGCAGGCGGUUUCUUAAGUCUGAUGUGAAAGCCCCCGGCUCAACCGGGGAGGGUCAUUGGAAACUGGGAAACUUGAGUGCAGAAGAGGAGAGUGGAAUUCCACGUGUAGCGGUGAAAUGCGUAGAGAUGUGGAGGAACACCAGUGGCGAAGGCGACUCUCUGGUCUGUAACUGACGCUGAGGAGCGAAAGCGUGGGGAGCGAACAGGAUUAGAUACCCCUGUAGUCCCUGUCUCUUAUACA